CGCUGGCGGCGUGCUUAACACAUGCAAGUCGAACGGGGCGAUUUAAGCUUGCUUAGAUGAGCCUAGUGGCAAACGGGUGAGUAACGCGUAGGCAACCUGCCUCUAAGAUGGGGACAACAGCCCGAAAGGGCUGCUAAUACCGAAUGUUGUGAGUUUUCCGCAUGGAGAGCUCAUUAAAGAUGGCCUCUACUUGUAAGCUAUCACUUAGAGAUGGGCCUGCGUCUGAUUAGCUAGUUGGUGAGGUAACGGCUCACCAAGGCGACGAUCAGUAGCCGGUCUGAGAGGAUGAACGGCCACAUUGGGACUGAGACACGGCCCAGACUCCUACGGGAGGCAGCAGUGGGGAAUCUUCCGCAAUGGGCGAAAGCCUGACGGAGCAACGCCGCCGUGAGUGAAGAGGGUCUUCGGAUCGUAAAGCUCUGUCGAAGGGGACGAACGUAACCUUUAUCAACAACGAAGGUUAAUGACGGUACCUUUCAAGAAAGCCACGGCUAACUACGUGCCAGCAGCGGC
rnacentral:rRNA from 1 species